CCACAUAGGAAUGAUUUAUAUCCAUGUACUGGCAAACAAGGAUAAGUUGAGCACCGACCUGACAAUUGACCCGCAUUAGCAUGUAUCAGUGCCGCCCACUGGUGCCUGCCAUUGUGAGCGAAAGGGCCCAAGGGUGACAGCGAUCAAGUGUAGUGUGAUGGGUGAAGCGCGUGGCCUGUCUCAGCAAACUCCGGUUGCUGGUACGCGCGGAAUCAAUUUCAUCGUCAUGCGCUGCACGUGCACUAGACCACAUCUGCUCUAUCUUUCACAAACCAAA